GUUCAUUCCUGAACAUAUAGAAAAUUGCAACAAUACAGAGGAAAUUAACAUGGCCCCUGCGAAAGCAUGUCACAAAACCUUUGCAGGUAGAUGUUAUCUAC
rnacentral:snRNA from 1 species